rnacentral:tRNA from 1 species
AGUUAGAUAGCUUAAUUAAAGCAUAUAUUUUGAAAAUAUAAGAAAGAGGAUUAAUUACUCUGUUAACUU